rnacentral:rRNA from 1 species
GGGGGCCUUUCCCGGUUCCCGUGUCGUAGCUAACGCAUUAAGCGCCCCGCCUGGGGAGUACGGCCGCAAGGCUAAAACUCAAAGGAAUUGACGGGGGCCCGCACAAGCGGCGGAGCAUGCGGAUUAAUUCGAUGCAACGCGAAGAACCUUACCAAGGCUUGACAUAUACCGGAAACGGCUGGAGACGGUCGCCCCCUUGUGGUCGGUAUACAGGUGGUGCAUGGUUGUCGUCAGCUCGUGUCGUGAGAUGUUGGGUUAAGUCCCGCAACGAGCGCAACCCUCGUUCUAUGUUGCCAGCGGUUCGGCCGGGGACUCAUAGGAGACUGCCGGGGUCAACUCGGAGGAAGGUGGGGAUGACGUCAAAUCAUCAUGCCCCUUAUGUCUUGGGCUUCACGCAUGCUACAAUGGCCGGUACAGAGGGUUGCGAUGCCGUGAGGUGGAGCGAAUCCCAGAAAGCCGGUCUCAGUUCGGAUUGAGGUUUGCAACUCGACCUCAUGAAGUCGGAGUCGCUAGUAAUCGCAGAUCAGCAACGCUGCGGUGAAUACGUUCCCGGGCCUUGUACACACCGCCCGUCAAGUCAUGAAAGUCGGUAACACCCGAAGCCGGUGGCCUAACCCUUGUGGAGGGAGCUGUCGAAGGUGGGAUCGGUGAUUAGGACUAAGUCGUAACAAGGUAGCCG